CCUACGGGUGGCAGCAGUGAGGAAUAUUGGUCAAUGGGCGCGAGCCUGAACCAGCCAAGUCGCGUGAGGGAUGAAGGUUCUAUGGAUCGUAAACCUCUUUUAUAAGGGAAUAAAGUGUGGGACGUGUCCUAUUUUGUAUGUACCUUAUGAAUAAGGAUCGGCUAACUCCGUGCCAGCAGCCGCGGUAAUACGGAGGGUCCGAGCGUUAACCGGAUUUAUUGGGUGUAAAGGGUGUGUAGGCGGCCUUAUAAGUCAGCGGUGAAAGUCUGUGGCUCAACCAUAGAAUUGCCGUUGAAACUGGUGGGCUUGAGUAUGUUUGAGGCAGGCGGAAUGCGUGGUGUAGCGGUGAAAUGCUUAGAUAUAACGCAGAACCCCGAUGGCGAAGGCGGACUGCCAGGCCAUGACUGACGCUGAUGCACGAAAGCGUGGGGAUCAAACAGGAUUAGAUACCCGUGUAGUC
rnacentral:rRNA from 1 species